CAGUCGCCGCGGUAAUACGUAGGGUGCGAGCGUUAAUCGGAAUUACUGGGCGUAAAGUGUGCGCAGGCGGUUUUGUAAGACAGGCGUGAAAUCCCCGGGCUCAACCUGGGAAUGGCGCUUGUGACUGCAAAGCUAGAGUGCGGCAGAGGGGGAUGGAAUUCCGCGUGUAGCAGUGAGAUGCGUAGAUAUGCGGAGGAACACCGAUGGCGAAGGCAAUCCCCUGGGCCUGCACUGACGCUCAUGCACGAAAGCGUGGGGGGCAAACAGGAUUAGAUACCCCUGUAGUCCCUGUCUCUUAUAC
rnacentral:rRNA from 1 species